rnacentral:lncRNA from 1 species
UUAGAAAAUUCAAUUGCAAGAAGGGUUUAAUCCUAUUCUUUAUCCCUUAGUUUCUCAACCUAAGUGGAUAGAUUAUUCUCUAAUUCUCUCAAACUCAAAGGAUACAUUGUUCUUUCAACCAUUUUCUCAUAUAAGCUAAUCCAGUUAGGUCAUUUGCCAUUAAUCCAAAGGUUAAAGCCCUUAGAAUUCAUGUAAACACUUUGUUU